rnacentral:rRNA from 1 species
GACGAACGCUGGCGGCGUGCCUAAUACAUGCAAGUCGAGCGAAUCGAUGGGAGCUUGCUCCCUGAGAUUAGCGGCGGACGGGUGAGUAACACGUGGGUAACCUGCCUGUAAGACUGGGAUAACUUCGGGAAACCGGAGCUAAUACCGGAUACUUUCUUUUCUCGCAUGAGGGAAGAUGGAAAGAUGGUUCUGCUAUCACUUACAGAUGGACCCGCGGCGCAUUAGCUAGUUGGUGAGGUAACGGCUCACCAAGGCAACGAUGCGUAGCCGACCUGAGAGGGUGAUCGGCCACACUGGGACUGAGACACGGCCCAGACUCCUACGGGAGGCAGCAGUAGGGAAUCUUCCGCAAUGGACGAAAGUCUGACGGAGCAACGCCGCGUGAGCGAAGAAGGCCUUCGGGUCGUAAAGCUCCGUUGUUAGGGAAGAACAAGUACGAGAGUAACUGCUCGUACCUUGACGGUACCUAACCAGAAAGCCACGGCUAACUACGUGCCAGCCGCCGCGGUAAUAC